rnacentral:rRNA from 1 species
UACCAGCACCCCGAGUGGUCGGGACGAUUAUUGGGCCUAAAGCAUCCGUAGCCGGUUCUACAAGUCUUCCGUUAAAUCCACCUGCUUAACAGAUGGGCUGCGGAGGAUACUAUGGAGCUAGGAGGCGGGAGAGGCAAGCGGUACUUAGUGGGUAGGGGUAAAAUCCGUUGAUCCAUUGAAGACCACCAGUGGCGAAGGCGGCUUGCCAGGACGCACUCGACGGUGAGGGAUGAAAGCUGGGGGAGCAAACCGG